rnacentral:rRNA from 1 species
UAAAAAUUAUUUUAUAUAGAUAGUUUUUUUAUUAUUUAAUAAAAAGAUUUUUUUUAUUUAUAGUAUAAUUUAGAAGUAAUAAAUUUUUAGAUAGCGUAUAGUAUAGUUAUAGAAUAUAUAUAUUUAGUUUUUUAGUAAAAUUUAUUAUUUGUACCUUUUGUAUCAGGGUUUAUUAAUUAAUUUUUAUUUAUAAUAAAGUUCUCGAAUUUAUAAGUGUUAAUUUUAUAUGAUAGUAUUUGUAAAAUAAAAUUUAUUAAUAUUAAAAUAGAAGUUAAAAGUUAUUCGUUUAUAAAUAUAUCUAGUUUUAAAAAAAAUAAAUUUAAUUUAGUUUAUUUAUUUAAAUAAUAUAAUUAUUAAUAUUAUUUAAUUAAUUAAAAUAAAAUUUUUUGGGAUUAGCUAAAAUUUUUAUUUAUAAUGGUUUAAUUUAUAAAAUAAAUGUGGGAUUAGAAAUUUUUAUCAUUAAUAAUAGUGUUAUAAUUUAUAUUUUAAUUAAAAAAAUUUUUUAAGGUUUAAGUAAAUUAUUUUAAUAUAAAUAUUAAUAAUUAGUAUUUAGAAAUAAUGAUAAAAUUAGUAUUUAAAAAUUUAUAUAAUAUAAUUACUUAUAAGAUUAUAAAAAGGAACUCGGCAAAAUUAUAUCCACCUGUUUAUCAAAAACAUGUCUUUUUGAAUUAUAUAUAAAGUCUGACCUGCCCACUGAAUUUUUGAAGGGCCGCAGUAUUUUGACUGUGCUAAGGUAGCAUAAUCAUUUGUUUUUUAAUUGGAAACUGGAAUGAAGGGUUUGAUGAGAUAUAAGCUGUCUCUAUAUAAACAGUAUAAUAAUUUAAAUUUUAAGUCAAAAUGCUUAAAUAUAAAUAAAAGACGAGAAGACCCUAUAGAUCUUUAUAUUUAUAAUUAAUUUAUUAUUUAUAAAAAAAUUAAAAUUAAUGUUAAAUAUUUAAUUGGGGUGAUUUAAAAAUUUAAUAAACUUUUUAAUUAUAUAAACUUUUUAUAAGAAUUUUUGAUCCAAUUUUAUUGAUUAAUAAAUUUAGUUACCUUAGGGAUAACAGCGUAAUUUUUUUAGAGAGUUCAUAUCGAUAAAAAAGAUUGCGACCUCGAUGUUGAAUUAAAGUAUAUCUUAGGAGUAGAAAAUUAAGAUUUUAGUCUGUUCGACUAAUUUACUUUACAUGAUUUGAGUUCAGACCGGCGUAAGCCAGGUUAGUUUCUAUCUUUAUUUUAAUAAAAUAUUUUAGUACGAAAGGACCAGAUAUUUAAAAAAAUUUUUUAUUUUAUGAGUUAUAUUAAUUGGGU